rnacentral:rRNA from 1 species
CCGGAUGGCGACCGGCGCACGGGUGAGUAACACGUAUCCAACCUGCCGAUGACUCGGGGAUAGCCUUUCGAAAGAAAGAUUAAUACCCGAUGGCAUAGUUCUUCCGCAUGGUAGAACUAUUAAAGAAUUUCGGUCAUCGAUGGGGAUGCGUUCCAUUAGGUUGUUGGCGGGGUAACGGCCCACCAAGCCUUCGAUGGAUAGGGGUUCUGAGAGGAAGGUCCCCCACAUUGGAACUGAGACACGGUCCAA